rnacentral:rRNA from 1 species
AGCAGUAGCCGCGGUAAUACAGAGGGUGCGAGCGUUAAUCGGAUUUACUGGGCGUAAAGCGUGCGUAGGCGGCUUCUUAAGUCGGAUGUGAAAUCCCUGAGCUUAACUUAGGAAUUGCAUUCGAUACUGGGAAGCUAGAGUAUGGGAGAGGAUGGUAGAAUUCCAGGUGUAGCGGUGAAAUGCGUAGAGAUCUGGAGGAAUACCGAUGGCGAAGGCAGCCAUCUGGCCUAAUACUGACGCUGAGGUACGAAAGCAUGGGGAGCAAACAGGAUUAGAUACCCGGGUAGUCCCUGUCUCUUAUAA